GCCCACCUCUGCUCUAACCGACCUUGAUAAGGUAUGACUCUUUAAUUGGUUUGACUAACUUAUUUAUAAGAUUUGAAAGAUAAUAAUGUCAAGACUUAAGCAAGAAAAUAGAUGAAUAAAUUAAAACUACAGAGCAAAUAAUAAAAAAUUGUACUAAAACUUAAUGUAAUCACACUUUUCAGCAGCAACUUCUACCAACAGAGAAUUUGAUAUUGACAAAUGCACUGCAAGGCCAAAAGCAUAAGAGAAAAAAAACAACAUUAAUUUUAAGUCAGUAUGAGAAUUCAAUCAGAAUUCAUAAGAUGAUUCUUAUGUUGUUUAACAUCAAUUAUGAUUAAAUAGAUAUAAAAUAAAAAAAACAAUAAAUUGAAUGAUCAAAUUAUAAUAGGAAUUUUAAAUAUAAAUCUCACACUAAAAUAAACAAAAUGGAAAACACACAAUAACAAAAAGAAACAUGAACAACACUUUAAAUCAAAGUAGAGGUUUUAAAAAAACAUGAGAAUUCAUAAAAACUCAAUUAAAAAAAAAAGAAAAACAGCUUAGUGCAAAAAAUAGAAAAGAAAUCAAAAUGAGUAGUUAAUAAUCAAUUAUCUAUAUAGAUUAUUGACAAAACACAAAUUGAAGAACGGUAAAAUUAAAGUAAGAAAAAAAGAAAGACAAACAUGAGAAAGGACCUUAAACUAAAAACUUAUUAUAAUAUAAGAAGUGCUAAACAUUGAAGUGAAGAAUAAUAAGCAAGAUAGAACAAAAAACAAAAUAGACAUAUGGCAAGAACCAAUAGGCUACACACGACACCCAUAUUAGACCACACACAUCCUCACAGCGUACAAAAUUCAAAGGCCAAAAUGAAAUCUGAAAAAGCAAACACAGCAUUCAAGCAUAAAAACCCAAACUCUUUGAUCGAAAUCUAUGAUCAAAUAUUCAAAAUUCAUGAUUCCCUAUUGUUCCCCAAGUCGACCCAACAGCAAGCUUGAAGUAUAGUGUAGACCCGAAGGGAAGCCGACAAUGAGGGAAGGUGAAAAGAUGAAAACAAUCAAGUAGAUCUAAGCUGAAGAGUCAAAGAAUAGGGGGUGGGAAUGCACAGAGAAAUACGAAUAGGGUCAAAUGACUUACUACCGUAGGCAAAUUGGAUUUUGUUUCAGAACCAUGCUAGAGAUUUCAAAGCCCUUCCUUCAAGUUUCACAGGUAAAAAACUCCUUCCUAGAAAAUGUAGCUUCUCUGGCUAUGAAGAAAACAUAUAUGAAUUUCAAAGAUGCAAAAACGUGAGUUGAUUGCUUCUUUUUGUAAAGUUGGACUCACAAAUGGUUUAGAGAUUCAAAACGUGGGCAUGGGCUCAGUUGACACGUGGGUUAAUGAGGAAGCCCCUUUGGAGCUUCCUUUUAAGUAUGUUAUAGAUAUUCAUACUUGCAAUCGAGGGCAUAUAGUGACAGUGACCGGGCAUGAUUGCCCUGAAACAAGAAGGUCUAGCAGCUCAAGUGAAGCAGAAUAUAGGACCAUGACAGCGGCUUGCAGUGAAAAUAUUUAGUUAACAUUCUUGCUUAAAGAUUUGGG
rnacentral:lncRNA from 1 species